GUCACGUUUACAGCAGCCACCGGGAGUGUGAGGUGGUGCUGCUGACAGCUGAGGAUGCAUUUUAAAAAGCUGUGCGUGAGCAGUACCUCUGACACACCCCAGAUUUCAUAGCCAGGGCUUCCUGGGCUUAGAUGACAAUGGUACUGCUGCCUUUGAGGUGUUAAAUGUGAACAGUGAGCAGUGUUCUGGCUCCCCUGAGAGAAAGCUGCCUCUUAGUGUUAAGCAGCAUAUUUAUGGUAAACACAGGUCUGUCUCUGCCAGAGUAGCACAGAGGGCACAAAGACUGACAGCAGAUGGAGAGGUCAGAAGUAUCUAAAUGGCACCCUAGGAUUUAAGAGCAGUGCCUGAAAUUGGCAUCCCCAUGUGUCUAUCACCCACUGAGUGCUGUAGGCUGGGUUUCCUGCUUCUGUUACUGCCCUGCCACACAUAAGAGGUCAAACAGGAACAAAAAAUUGUUCUCCAAUGCCAUUAAAUUAGCUCAUUUAUAUUAAUAGGUUAAAAGCUGGUCUGAAACACCACAGAAAAAUAAAAAGAAAGCCCCAGCACCACUGAACACCACAGUGUUUACUGUCACAGAAGCAGCAUGAGGAUGCAGCUCUUGGCACAUCUCCUGUGCCAUUUCACUGGAUGCCAGCAUGGGGACUGCAGCACUGUGACCAAGGGUGAGAUCCCCAGGCUGGAGUGAAGCAAACCUCAUCCCUCUUGUGUUCCAGGUGCUCACAAACAGCCUCAUUGCAGAAGAUGCUUUGUGUCACCUCCCGGCCACCAGCUCCCGUGAACCUGUUGGCUGUCAGGCAGUGCCAGCUGGGACCAGGUUUGAAUUUCUGCCACGGUUACUUACGUGACAGGCAGUGCAGGGUUUAGAAAUGGCAUUUAUCCAACUGCUAAAACAGCAUCCCUGUCAAGGAGAGAGCAGAAAUGUCCAGAAGGGCAGCUUCCCCAAGGGAAGGCAUUGUAUCUGAGGCCAUAAAUCCCACAAGGACUAGGCUGAAAGCAAAGCACUCAAGAGGUGCCAAGGACAGGCUUGGACUGGUUGCACUCUUCCACCCUCCCAAAACUUGGGGCCAGCAGAGUUCCAGGUGGGCUGGGGAGGACAUGACAAAGACUUGCUGGAGACAGAGACAAGCUGUCUUGCCGUGAGAGCUUGUCUCUCCCACCCUCUACAGCAUGACCUUGUGGUCUGUGGAGAGAAAAUCUCAGCACCCUUUCCUCCCCACCAUCCCACCAGCGAUCCUUCCAGAGCACCAGCCGCAGCAGCCUCUAGAAGGAGGACACAGCCAUCAAGGUGAUUUGUUGAGACGAUCAAAUAAUAAUUUACUGUGAUUCAAUCUGUGGCUUUGUACAGUUGCCGGGGUGGGAGGAGGCCAAAGGAUGAGGGGAUGGGGAUAAAAAAAAAAAGAAGUUGUUUGCCACA